CGACCUGCAUGAAACAUAGAACGAUUCGAUAGCUGUCUUGCACACACAUCAUGGUAAAAUAUUCAUCAGUACGAAUAAUAUGCUGACUAAAGUAGAAAUUAUUGAAGACCACUGUUUAAUUGGGGCGAUAACCUUAUCAACAGCCACCUAAGGUGAACAAAGCGAUACAAGGAUCCUUGACCAACUAAUAAGUGCAAAGAUACAUGUUUCGCUUAAUGGCCCAACAAGUCCUUCCCAGUACUUAAAUGCUAUCUUAAUGAGCUUUAAAUUAAUUUACCCGAGUUAAGCUACUCUACGGAUAACAGGCUUAAUUUCCGCAAUAUUAAAGGUCACAUUAUCACGAAAAAUGUACCUCGAUGUCGGCUUAUCAUCACUAAAAUAGGUAG
rnacentral:rRNA from 1 species